UCCUCUUCCUGCUACACAUAGUAUUAGCCUACGUAAGGUCAUUACGGCGCCGUUUCCCUUUUUAAUUGGCGUAGUUCAACUCAUCAUCCACCCAAGUUCAUUUCGUUCAAAGCUAUAAAUAACCCCUCAAACCAUUCAACUUUCCCACCACCACUCCUCACUCCUUCAACUCAUUAACCUCUCUCUCUCUCUCUCCUUCAACUCAUUAACCUCUCUCUCUCUCUCUCUCUCUCUCAUUUUCAUCCGCAAAUGGCGAACCGUAGAAGCCUCUUUUCUCUCUCACUUAUCUUUGUGUUCAUGAUCAACUCAGCCAUAGCCACUCCAGUCACAUACAAUGUGGCCAGUUUAGGAGCCAAAGCAGAUGGCAAGACUGACUCCACAAAAGCCUUCCUCUUUGCAUGGGCUAAAGCUUGUGCCUCGAUGAAUCCCGGUGUCAUUUAUGUGCCGGCAGGAACGUUCUUUCUUCGCGAUGUGGUGUUCAGUGGGCCUUGCAAGAACAAUGCCAUCACCUUCCGCAUUGCCGGAACCCUUGUGGCCCCGUCGGAUUACCGGGUCAUCGGUAAUGCAGCUAACUGGAUUUUCUUUCACCAUGUAAACGGGGUUACCAUAUCAGGUGGAAUUCUUGACGGCCAAGGCACGGCCUUGUGGGCUUGCAAGGCCUCUCAUGGCGAGAGUUGUCCCAGCGGAGCAACGGUAAUUAAUUCACUACUUUAAAUAUCAUAUUCAUGACACCAUUAAAUAUCAAAUUCAUGACACCAUUAUUUUGUGCUUCAUUAUUAGUGAGAAUUUUAAAGGUCAACGUACGUACAAUUUGCUUUAUUAUUUGCUACCAAUUGAAUUGAGGGUUUAUAAAAUAAGUUUAAACUCUACAGAACGUAAUCAAAUGGACAUGAUAAAUUGUACCACAAGCUUAGCUUGAUCAAGUAAUUUCGUGUAUAUAUGUGCAGACUUUGGGUUUUUCCGACUCAAACAACAUCGUGGUGAGUGGAUUGGCAUCCCUAAACAGCCAAAUGUUCCACAUAGUCAUCAACGACUGCCAAAAUGUGCAAAUGCAAGGUGUCAGGGUUUCUGCUUCCGGGAACAGCCCUAACACCGAUGGCAUUCAUGUCCAAAUGUCAUCUGGUGUCACAAUCCUCAACUCCAAGAUUGCAACCGGUGACGAUUGUGUCUCAAUUGGCCCCGGAACCUCAAAUUUGUGGAUAGAAGGCGUUGCUUGUGGACCUGGCCAUGGAAUUAGGUACGACAUCAAAAUUAUAUAUUUAUCCAUGAUUGAUCAAACUAGCUAAAUGCAUACUAUUUCAUAAUAUAUGUUAUAAUGUAUAUCUUUUUUCUUCGUUGCUUAAUGACAUUUGAACUUAGGACAUCUUUCAAUAAAGUGGAGAUUAAUUGGUUGCUAGUAGAGAUUCAUUGCCUACAAAAAGUAUAUCUUUCUUUUGGGUGGAUGUUCUAGUUGUAAAUUUAACAUUGCUUUAUUUGAUGGUUCAGCAUUGGAAGUCUAGGCAAGGAGCAAGAAGAGGCCGGUGUACAAAAUGUAACAGUUAAAACGGUUACCUUUACUGGUACUCAGAAUGGUCUAAGAAUCAAGUCAUGGGGGAGGCCAAGCACUGGGUUUGCUAGAAAUAUUCUUUUCCAACAUGCUACAAUGGUCAAUGUCGAAAAUCCUAUUGUCAUAGAUCAACAUUAUUGCCCCGACAACAAAGGGUGCCCUGGUCAGGUAAGAUAUCAUUCUUGCUCUAACGGUCAAUUCCCAGAGUUUAAUAUUACAACUAAAUUUUCUCUUCUUCACUUUCAUAGUGUAACGUUUUUGAUAAAAACGUUGGCAUCGCCAAAUUAUAACUGUCUAAUUUCGAAACAUAUCAAAAGCUUUCUUGGGCUUCCACCUAGAAGAGCCAAUAAUUUUAGACCCAAAGCAAAUCCAAUAACUCCUUCUUCCAUGGGCUUGCUCUCCUACUACUUACAAAGGUCGAGCCUUGCCCAUUGUAACCUUUGUAACUUAUUAAUUUCAUUGUAUGUGCAAUGAGAUUGAGGGUUGUAGCUUAAGUGGUUAACAAUAUUUACUCAUGUAUUCGAAGUUCUAGAUUUAAUUCCCCUCUUUUCCAAUACCAUUUUUAUCAAAAUGACUUCAUCGUAGCUUAGCCAAAAAAGCAUUAAACUUCCCAUUAAGCCGAAUUACCAUGCUAUAAUGCUUGUUCACCUUCUGUUUUAUCAAAAGCUGGAAAUCUGACUUCCUAUUGUUUUUUUUCUUUUGUCAAUUUUGUUUUUCGAUAGGUUUCCGGAGUUCAAAUUAGCGAUGUGACAUACGAAGACAUACACGGUACAUCAGCAACAGAAGUUGCAGUAAAAUUUGAUUGCAGUCCCAAGCACCCUUGCAGCGAGAUCAAAUUGGAGGAUGUGAAGCUUACUUACAAGAACCAAGCAGCUGAGUCUUCAUGUAGCCAUGCAGAUGGAACAACUGAGGGUGUGGUUCAGCCUACAAGUUGUUUGUAGAGUGGAAAAAUAUGAACUGCUUGUAGAAGUAUUGAAAUCCAAAAGUUUGCCCUCCAGUACUAAGGACAAAUGAAAAGUGAAUUAUACGAUUUAUAUAGGAAGAAUGAGCUUGUGUUGUUGGCAGCCUACUUGGGCUUCCCUUGAGCCUGGCCGUUCAAUUAGUUUAGUUUGUUCAAACUCGUCCACUUCGAUGGGUGUUUAUGUUAUGAAUUGUUGUAAGAUUAUGUUCGGGAUACGUUAAAUUUAUAAGAUUAAAUUUUAUGUUGAUGGCUAAUGUGGCAUUUGACAUAGGAUUCAAUAUUCUAUCAAUUUAAUUCACAAUUUUAUUAUAAUCGAAGCACACAUUAAAUAGUAAAAAUUUGGUUCAAGAAACAAAAGGAUUUGAAGUCUCGCAUGAACUUUUUGGUUGGAGCAUUUUCUCAUGUCAAAUUUUACCCGUUAAAAAUUUAUUAUGAUAUUUUAACAUUUCGGUUGGAGUAUUUUUUUCAUGUCAAAUUUGACCCGUUAAAAAUUUACUAUGGUAUUUUAGCAUUUCGGUUGGAGAUGUAUAAAUCUUAAAAAUGCAUUCAAGAUGCAUUUUUGUUUCUUAAGCUUUGAGCUUUAGGUAAUUAACUUUAAAUGUUGUUGGGCACCUUGCACUAGUUGAUUAAAGAAAAAUAGACCCGAAGCAAGAUUCCUUGUAGUUGCCAAUUCGAAGUUUUCUUUAUCGCUACAUACUUACUGGUCUACAAGUUCUCUCUCUAAUACAUAAUUUGACAUAAAUAAAUACAGUGAAGAGUGCAUUGACUAAACAGAAAAAAAAACAAAAAAAGCAGCACGUAAGCAAUUACGUGCAUUUGGUGUAAAAGCUAAAGGCCUCUGAUUUAUGUAAGCAGUUACGGUAAUCAUAUUAUAUUAUAUGUAUCUUAGUUCUGCAAUUGUAACAGGAAUAAUAUUGUUUUGUUAUCCCCAAUCAAUAAUACAAUGAUACGUGAAAAAGUUAUUUAACAUGUCAUUGCGUUAUUAGCUGGGGAUAGCAAACAGUGCUAUCCCCAUUACAUGAAAGUCUUUCUCCUGCAUAUCCUAUUAUACUAUUAUAAAACUCAAUUGGUCAAUCAUAGUGAAAAAAAUAUAGUGAAAGAAAAAAGAAGAAGAAGAAAAUAUCAAUUAAGCCCCUCUUAUAUUGAACACUUCAAUAAUAAAAUAAAAAUUGCAUAUGGAGUAAAGUCAGUCAGUUAAGAUAGUAUGCUAGUUCUUUUGCACCUGAGUUCAAUUUCCUUCCCCGAACAUUUUCAAAUAAAUAAUAAUAAAAUAAAAUGUGAAUUUGAUAGUCAAUGUCGUAGUAAAAUAUGGUUUUUUAGUAUCAAUAUUAAGGAAAGCCAUUGUUCUUUCUAGCAGAAUGCCCGCCACUGCUAGAGAGAGAGAGAGAGAGAGAGCGGAAUGGCAGAAGUGAGUAACAAGCAGGUGAUACCGAGGGAGUAUGUCACUGGCUUUCCCAAAGAGUCAGACUUGUACGUGAAUAGCACUGCUACUAUCAAGUUGAAGCUUUCUGAGGCCCCCGAGCAUGAGGGUUCUUCAAAGAAACUAGUUCUAGUGAAGAAUCUUUACUUGUCCUGCGAUCCCUACCAACGACUAUUUAUGGAAAGAAUCGAAGGCCUCAGCAGCCAAUCCACUUCCUCCUAUACGCCUGGUUCUGUAAGCAAAACCCAUCAUAUAUCUUUUCCUUUCAAUUUCUGUAAACAUAUAUACCAAAUGUUAUGCUCAAAUAUAUAUUAAUUGUUAAACAUUGUUCCCUUAAAAAAAACAAUUUAUUGCAAAAUUGGAAUAUACAAGAGGUAACUCUGCACAAAUAUUAAUGACAAGAUGAGGUGGCUAAAAGCACUGUUAAUGUCUAUCAGCGCGCAAUGAGCACGAAUAACUGUGAUUAUUAAGUAGUAGGAGCUGAUAGUUGUUUUUGUUACCACAUCCUAUGCCACAAAUAUUAAUUAUUACCAAUUAUUCUUCUAGUAAUGCUUGUUUUUUUGUUGAUGGCAACAUUGGGAGGAGGGAAUCAAAUACAAGUUUGAUCAUAUGAUUAAUUUAAUUUUGUUGGUGUAAACGUGCAGCCAAUAUACGGGUAUGGAGUGGCUAAAGUUUUGGACUCUGGGCACCCAGAUUUGAAGGCAGGUGACUUAGUUUGGGGGACUACCUAUUGGGAAGAGUACAGCCGAAUCCCUGAACCCGAAGGCCUGAUCAAAAUCCAGCACACUGAUGUACCUCUAUCCUAUUAUACUGGAAUUCUUGGUAACAAGUCAAACCUAUUUUAGAUCAUGAUGAUAUGUGUUGGUUUAGAUACGUAAGUGUAUUUUUUGUAAUUUCAUUUCAGGUAUGCCUGGUUUGACCGCUUAUGUUGGUUUCUAUGAAAUUUGUUCUCCUAAGAAAGGAGAACAUGUCUUCAUUUCAGCAGCAGCUGGUGCUGUUGGUCAGCUUGUUGGACAAUUUGCAAAAUUAAUGGGUUGUUAUGUUGUUGGAAGUGCUGGCAGUAAGGAAAAGGUACGAACUUGAGAAAUCUUUGAACUUCAAAUUAAUAUUAUCUACACCAUUUUUUCUUGUUUGGGUUGUAUUUUGCUGUUGUUAUUUGGGCCAACUUUGGUGUUGGUUUGGUUUGGGGCCUCUGUUUGUGCGCUGGGACUACAAUGAGUGGAAAGUUAUAAGGGGUAAGUUAUAAGGGGUUCACUUUAUAGCCAUCAGAUCAAUCCAAGGGCUGGGGAGAAUUGAGAUAAAGUUUCACAAUUGGGUAGGUGAGGAACCCAAACCCGAAUUGAAUAUCCAGCACGUCCAAAAAGAAGAAGAAGAGGGAAACACGUUCGAAAAAGAAGAAGAAGAGGCAAGUUCGAAGUUUGAACAGAAAGAACUCAUCUCUCUAAAACCCAGAGGUCUGAGAUACCCAAUGAAGGCAACGGCUAACGACAGUUGAAGGCAACGAUUCGCCACUCCGUUCUCCAGACCCUGAAAAAGUAUUUAUUUGGAGUAGAAGGGGCAAAGGUGUGGAUUCCAAAUCAAUGAAGGGGCGAAGCAGUGGAAGGGGAAGGGGAGAAGCUAUAAUCGUUGGAAGUGGUAGGUUCCAUUUGUGGAGCAAAGAAACAGAAAGACCCCACACAGACACCUUGCAAUAACCAGCAUUUGGUGAGUAAUUUAUGGAAUUUGAGUUUAGGGUUAGAGUAAUGGUUUUCCUCAAUUUGUAGCAUAAAUUUUGUUGGAUUUGGCAUCUCUUCGUUGUGCUUGAGUUGCAUGUUAAUUUUUGCUUAGGUAUAUGUUAAAAAAAGAAUGAAAAUCAAGUCAAUAACAAGUGAAUAACAUGUCAAUAAUGAUAUGAAUAAGAUAAUGGUGUUGAAUUGGAGGAGGCCCUCAAAACCUUCCACAUUUGAAGCAGUGCAUAGUGCAGAUUAAGAAGAGGCGGUAGAAUAUAUAUAUAUAUAUAUAUAUAUAUAUUUUAUGAAGUAAAUAUGAUUUCCUUUGUUACUAAAUUUGCCUGAGAAACAUUUGAACAGAUAAUAAUAAACUCAUGAAUAGAAGUGCAAAGCAUUUGAUGAGUAAUUUAAGGAAUUUGAGUUUAGGGUUAGAGUAAUGGUUUUCCCCAAUUUGUACCAUCAAUGUUGUUGGAUUUGGCAUCUCUUAUUUGUGCUUCAAUUGCAUGUUAAUUUUUGCUUGGGUAUAUGUUAAAAAACGAAUGAAAAUAGAGUCAAUCACAUGUCAAUAACAUCUCAAUAACAUGUCAAUAACAUGUUAGUAAUGAUAUGAAUAAGAUAAUGGUGUUAAAUUGGAGGAGGCGCUCAAAACCUUCCACAUUUGAAGCAGUGCAGAGUGAAGAGUACCUCUCUGGCCCUAGAAUUUAUAUAUUUUGUGAAAUAAAUAUGAUUUCAUUUGUUACUAAAUUUGCCUAUGAGAAAUGAGAACAGAUAAUAAUAAACUCAUGAAUAAAAGUGCAAAGCAUUUGAAAUGAAGGUUGAUCUAUGACGAUUGUGGGUGACUGAAGAAAAAGCUAGAAAGAAAGAAGGAUGUGGCAAUUGCUUAGCAAGCAGAUAGCAGAGUAGAUGCUUUGCUUUGCUUCCUUCCACUAUAUUUCUUAUUUAUUUAUUUUGUGUUGUGUAUGAGAUGACAAUAAUUGUCAUGUGUGUGAAGUGCAGAACUUGCCUACAUUGCACUCACACGAGUAUGGAUCCAUAAAUAAAACACGUGAAAUUGUUUGUAAUUCACAUAAUCAUUGCAUUAACAGGUAUUUGCACAAAAUUUGUCAUAUUGCUUUGAUGAUGUUAAAGCCUAUGAUCAGUAAUCCGUAUGCUCAUGUACUUUGUAAAAUUUGUAAUGUGCCUGGUUGACUAGUUGUGAUUGUGCAAAUACGUGGCAGUAUAUGUGUUCACGUUAUUUCACAUUGUAUUUGAGGAAAUGGGAUCCAACGUGGAGCUGGUAUGGCCAGAGGCAGAGGCAUAUUCGUCACGGGUGAACAACUGCUCACAUGCAAAUUCAUCUCUAGCUGCAAUUCGAGCGAAGUUGAGUGCGGAACAAUUAGAACAAUUCAAGACAUCAUGCUUUGGCCAUCUUCUGAAUAUAGAUAAGAUUCAGUUUAGCGGGCAGAUUGUGCAUGGGGCUGUGUUGCGUAGAGUAGCGGGGCAGGGUGUGAAAGACUUGGAUGGACUGAGUUUCUUAUUAGGGUGUGACGUUGCUCAGUUCACUCGUCAGGAUUUCUGUUUGAUCACAGGGCUUCGUUUUGGGGAAGUGCCUGAAGUUUCCAGUGGAGAGAGUGAUGUAAUCAGACUUCAGAAAAGAUAUUUUAUAGACGAAGGAAUUACAUGCAAUGCUUUAGAAGAAGCAUUUAUGGGGUGCACAGAGGAAGAUGACAUCUACAAGCUAGCUCUUGUUUACUUUGCUGAGUUAGUGGUUUUGGGAAGGGACAAACAUUUGAACAUCAAUCUAAAUUACCUGACCCUUGUAGAGGACUUGGAUGCGUUCAACAGGUAUCCGUGGGGUUCGGUGUCCUUUGACAAAACCCAAGACAGUCUAUUUUCUGCACCAACAAAGUAUGUGAAAAGCUUGCAAAAUGAAGAGGGAAGAGGGAAGGGGAAAAGUAAGGUAACGGGAACAAGCCGGAGAAAUGAGAAGGGCAGGAAGGAUAAGCAUGGUGAAGCGCAAAGGAGUGGCUGGAGUUUUAAAGGUUUCACGUAUGCUUUCCAGGUACAUGGUAAUAAUGUUCAUGUGAGUUAUGUUUUGUUUUUCUUUAAAACAUAAAUAAUGACUUUUGUCCUGUGAAUUGUGUAGAUUUGGGUAUAUGAAUUAAUUCCUAGAAUGGCGGACCUGAAUUACUGCAAGGUUGUUGAUCCGACCGCUGUCCCGCGUAUUUUGCGAUGGAGAACUACUACGUCUGUUCCAGAGAUGAGAAAGUUGAACAAUUAUUUUUUCCAGAGCAAAGAGGUUUGGUUUGCAGCCCUUGGAACUAUUGAUAAGAUUGAAUGAAAUUUUGAAGUAGAAUGAUUUAAUAUGACUGUGGUUUGUAUUCUGAAACAGUCAGUUCAGUUGCGGGCGCUAUGUCCGAGUGAAGAGGAAAUGAGACAGCCAUAUUGGAGUUGGCCACAGGAUCGCCCUGAUGAGACAGCCAUAUUGGAGUUGGCCACAGGAUCGCCCUGCUGUUGUCUCGGCAGAGUCAAUUCCUUCUUUAUGUGGUGAUCUUGAUCAGUUGAACAAGGUGGUAAGCUUGUUGAGGUCCGAGUUGUUUCAAGUAAAGCGGGAAAAAGACGUCCUUCACUUAAAGGUCAUACGGAUGGAAAAACUGUUGGACCAAUGUUUAGGUCCUCAGUUUGAGCAGGAAGUAAGGAGGGACCUAGCUUUACUGAAACAGAGGACGAAGCGUUGUGUCGUCUCACAUCUAUUUAGGGGAUAUCGGGAAUUGGAUGACAUUCAAUGGGAUGAAGGGCCAAGUAACAGAAAUGAGGGAGAGGAAAAGGAAGAUGAAGGGAUUGAAGGGGGUGAAGGGCCAAGUAAUAGAAAUGAGGGAGAGGAAAAGGAAGAGGAGGGGAUUGAAGGAGAGGAAAAGGAAGAGGAGGGGAUUGAAGGGGGUGAAGUGCAAGGAAUACCAAGUGAGGUAGAGGAAGGGCAAAGGAAAAGAAGUGAAGGAGAGCAAGUGCAAGUAAAAAGUAGCAAAGGAGAGGAAGCCCAAAGACAGAGCAGUGAGGGAGAGGAAGUGAAAAGAAAAAGCAGUAAGGGAGAGAAACUGCAAAGGAAAAAAAGGGAGGGCAAGGAAGUGAAAACACAAAGAAGUGAGGAAAAGGAAGUGCAAAGAAACCAAUGUGAGAAAGAAGAUAAUGAAGUUAUGUUGCUUGGGGAUGACAUUGGCGAGAGCACGGAGGGGACACUGCUUGAGUUUACUGUCGGGGACAUUGAUUUGGAUCAACCUACAGCUGUGCUAUCUCAGUUGAACGUGUGGUUGAAUGAUAAAGGUAAAGCUGUGGCACAAGGGGUCCAAUUACGGAAAAGGAAGAGGAUCAUUCCUAUGUGGAAGAUCAUUGAAGGCAUUGAAUUGGUUCCAAAAACUGGGGCACAGACAACCGGACUGAAGAUGUUAGACCCAAUGAAGGCGAUUCCGCAUGAUGAUCUGGUGAAUUUGCUGAAACUUUGUUGGGAAUGGCGCCAGGACCCAAAGUAAGUCCCUUGCAAUUAUAAGAUAGAAGCACGACUGUAUAUAAUUUUUAAUAUACAGUGUUCUAAAACUGUUUUAUAUUCAUAGUUUAGUGAUGCAAUUUGGCAACGUGGAAGCUGAGAUUGAAUUCUUCGCUUCCCUCGUGAAAGCUGAUGGUUGGCUGAAAGGAGAUGUAAGUGUAAUUGAUUAUGCAUUUGUUUUAAUGUAUAUAGAUUAUGAGAUUGACAAGAACAACAUGUUGCAGCACAUUGAGUUGGGGUUGUAUCUCAUCCGGAAGCGACAACAACAGUUUGAGGAAGUAGAAAUAGCGGACUGGACAACGACAGAUGUUUUUUUUAUGGUAUGUCAUCGGCCUUGACCAAGUGCCGUUAAUAAUUACACAUUUUCCAUACAGACAAUAGUGGAGGUGUUUAACCAUUGAUUGUUUUGUAUUUCACAGAAUCACAUUCGAACUUGCUUUGCGGAUAAUAAAAGAAAAAAACAGCAGCUUGGGUGGAAAAUCAGAAAAAGUUUACUAAACGUUGUAAAUGGGAAGGUUCCUCCGUGUGGGAUGGAUUGGCAGAACGUCUAUACGGUGUAUACCCCAGUUAUGUUGACGAAGUACAAGCAUUGGGUGGCUGUAAUGAUUGAUCUGGUAUUGUGUGAAAUCAAAGUGUACGAUUCAAAGGUUUCACUAAUUCCAGAUGACAUCGUAAAGGAAGAACUCGCCCCGCUAUCAAUUAUGCUUCCAAAUCUUCUCAACACCAUCGACUUUUAUGAAGAAGGUGUUUAUGCAAACAAUUGCAUGCGAGAUUGGUGGUGUCCGUGGCCAAUAGAGCGUGUGGAUGUUCCACAACAGUCUAAUGAGUAAGCACAACUUGCAAUUUAAUUUUAUUACUUUCAAUUGUCAAUUACGUUAGAAUGUCAUUAGUUGAAUUGAUCGAGUUCUUGUUUUGCUUCAGAGGCGAUUGUGGCAUGUUUGUGUUAAAGUACAUUGAGCUUAUCAGCGCUCAGCUUUCGUUAGCUAUUUGCACCUCGCACAACAUGCCUUUUUUUCGGUUGAAAUUGGCUGCGGAGAUAACAAGGGGAGAUGCUUACUUCCCAUGAUAUUGGUUGAAGAUGACAAAUGGUACAUGAGAAGGUUUUGGGAAUGUCCAUUCUCAAACUAAUGUAAAUACACAAUAGAGACGUACGUGUCCUUUUCGAAUUCUACCGCUAACUCCUUCAUGACAUUUACAUGUUUGUUAACCAAACUGCAUUGAAUUGGAAUUUUAAGACUGCAUAUGUUAAUUGGGAUUUGAAGAUGGCUUUUUAAGUGUAUUACACCAUUGCAAAGUGAUAUGUCAUUGUUGAUGCAAGCCACCAUUAUUCGCAAUGAGUUGCAUCAUAAUAGGUGUGUAAACAUGCGAAAGGUUUUCGGCAGCUCAGUAGCAUAAAAGUAGAAACAAUUACAAUAUACACAAAAUGAACAACAAUUCACUUGCGUUUGGACAAGCAAUACAGACACAACAGACAAACAAUAUACACAAAAUUGGCCUGCCAUAUACAGACAUACACACAGUAGACAUGCAAUAUACACACAGUAGACAUGCAAUAUACACACAAUAGACAUGCAAUAUACACACAAUACACAUGCAAUAUACACACAAUACUCCCUUAACACACACAAUAGACAUGCCCUUGCCCACAAUAAUGAUGCAAUAUACUUCAGUCCCCAAGUACACCAACCAUAAGGAAGUCGUAUUGAAUAGGAUAUUAAACUUAACAGUUGUUCUUCCUACUAAAAGAAAGAAUAACGUCCGUUUCCCCCCUUCAUUCUUACUUCAGUGAUACUUGUGGCCCCAAUAAACAUCCAAUAUUGGGUCAAGGAUAUUCCAUAUACAUGCAGCAAACUAUCAAUAAACCUUCAAUAAACAUUCAAUAUCGGUUCUAUAACAUGCGAAAUACAUGCAGUUAACAAAUAUUACAAAAUGGGUUUAGGGUCUCAUUGGUGGUGCGUGCAACAUGUCUUGUGCGGAAGAACUUUCACAAUCUUUGAAACCAUGCAGUUAAAUGAUCCUUAAAAGAACAAAUAAAAUGACAAUUGAUACAACUAAUAAAACUAAUACCAAGUCCUUAAUGGACUUCAGCAUGUUCAGCACUCUAGCAUCAUACGUGUCAUCUUGAUGUUCUGCUUCAGCGGAGGUUACAUCAACCCAUUCGAAUCCAUUGCAACUGGUGGCUCCCUAAUUGCAGGCAUCAUAUAUGGAAUAUAAUUCUGUUAGAGUUAGACAUGGGUUUAUUUUGACCCACAUACAUAUUAUUGAAAUUAAAACUUACAUAGGAGGUUAGACACUUCCAGAAUGGCUUCCCUCGAUUUUUGUCAGAUUUUGAAACCCGAAGCACCAUUGUAGCUCCACAAUACUGACACCUCUUUGUUUGAGCAGGAGAUGAAGACGAAGACAUGUUGAAUCUUCUCAGUUGUACCUCUUCUCACUCAGAUCUUCUCACUGAAACCUCUUCGGACUCAUACCUUCUCACUCAUCGUUGUCAUUCAUACCCCUUCACUCAUAACCCUAAACUUGUCACUCAGCUCUCUCUCAUCUCUGCCCAAAUCGAGUUAUAUUUCUUUUUUUUGGGAUCAUUUGGUGGGUUGGUCACGAUCUCGACACCCGUACCGUCGGCAUUGCGACAUCUUUUAGCCCGAAAAGCAAUAUAAACUACUUCACUACCAAAUAUAUUUUCUGAAAAAUGAGGGGACACUGCUUCAAAUUUAUUAUUUUAUAUAUAUUUCAUUAAGGCAACUAGUUGGAUAAGAAUCCGUCAUUAUUGGUUCCAUUUGAAUAACAUUACUAGGGGUAGUUGGGUGUGGGAAAAUGAAAAAGUAUAUGAUGGGACCUUCUGUCACUACUCAGUAAUCCAUCACAUUUGUAUCAAUGAAUUUGAUAGUGGGAUAAUCCCACAAAUGGCUAUGCAAAUAGCCAUUUAAUGAACUUUUUGACUGUCUGACUCUGUAUGCACCGUUAUGACGUUUUCCCUUCUUUUGUCUUCAGUUUUAAUUCACUUGGGUUCAGUUUCUUUAAAAAUGGUCAACUUGGAAAAACCCCAACUGGAAACACCUUUUCAAAACACUAUAAACAGAGGCUAAAACAAAACGUGUACCCCAAAUAUUCUCAUUUAUCCCCUCUGCCACUCCUCAAAUCGUUCCAUUCCAAAAACUUUUCAAUGAAUUCGAAACACUUCACUACAGUCGGAGGAAAGAGAAGGAAGCAUCUCCAUUUCGAUAUGCCCGAAGCCUUCAUCCCGGAGUCCGCUUGGUUUCAAGUGAUGUUAUACGUGGCAACCGAAUCAUCGGAAGAUCUCUUCCGUAUGGCAUCUGUGUGCCCAUUGUUCCAAACUUUGGCAAACAGUCCACAAGUGUGGAACACCAUUUCAAUGGCAAAGUACCCACACCAUCCUAGCUGGUACCGUGCCAGACCUGCGGUCCAGCAUUUCUUGCAACAAUGCAGGGCUUGCGAUAACCCUGAGUCGAUAUUUAGAGAAGCAUUCGAUAUUUUUUUCAGGGCCAGUAAGGUGGAAGCGUUGUAUGGGAUGCGCAUUGCAGCCACGGCAGGCCAUAUGGAAGCGGCAUAUGUAGUUGGACUACUUGGUAUAUCCGGAAUUGGUCAGUCAAAAGAGGAUGCAUUACAAUUCUUGUGUUCUUUGAAUCAACGUAACAACAUUGAUAUGAAAGGAACCAGGGAUGCUUUGACACGAAGAUUAACCGGACCAAGAGUUGCAAGACAUAUCGUAGAUAUAUUUGACUAUGGGAAGAUUAAGUUCAAUCGCUGCAGCACUUGUAACAACAAUGAAUGGUAUUUUGUUAUUCAAGGCUGGCCUAGUGAAGACAAGAUAAAUCCUGCCUUCUAGACUUGUUGCAAUCGAUGCAAAUGGCACCGUGAGAGUAUUUUUUGGUUCAAACUGAUGCGUGAGUAUGUUGUGCGAGGGAAUCAUGUAUUUUUGCAUUAGUUUUAGUACGAAUUUACGGUUUUGAUGCAUUGUGGACUUACUUCUCUUCACUUCUAGGUUGGCUGGCUACGUUGUACAAAUGUUGUUUAAAUGUUGUUUAAAUGUUGGUAUUUUGUCAUAAACCGUUUUAUAUAUAAAUGUAUAAUAUUUAUUAUAUAGCGGAAUUAUUACUUACAUCAUAGACGGCUACGAAUGACAUUUUACUGACACAGAUAUUUUGCUCACCCACCCCAAUAUUCAUAUUUGGUAAACGAAAAGUCAUGCAUGGAGUAAAUAGGUGUCUUUUCACCAAUGCUUGGGAAUGACAUUUUCCCACUUAGCAUAUUCGACAGGAUUUGGUUACACGUUUCUUAAGCAAAAGUUGAACAGUGAAUGACGUUGAAUAAUUUGUUUGUGUGGAAGGAGUACAAUGGAUGACUUGUAUAUUUCCAUAUUAUGUUUGAAAACAUCCCUUCAACCUAAAAAAUAAAAAAAUUAACAAAUUGAAGAACAGAGAAACCGAUGAGCACUACAAAUGGCCUAUUCGCACGGAAAAUAAAAUUGUUUUAAACAAGUUGGACUAAAUAUAAUUAACAAAUGGACAGCCUAAAAAGUAAUAUCAUAAUAAUUAUAAUAAUUGUGGAUUAAUAAUAAUAAAAUACUAAUGUAGCAUAACCAUGAAACAGGGAAUUCAGUAGGAAGAUGAAAUCUCAAUAAGUUCGUUGAAAUGUUCGGAUCGUUUUUCUAAUUUUUGUGUAUUUAGUUCUGAAUUUUCCAAGAAAAAAAGUAAUUAAAUAAUAAUUUAGGGUAAAAUGGGAUGAUGUGGCCAUGUUGACUGACGUACACUUGUGCAAGUACUCAUAAGUGAGGGGCUGAGAUCGCGCCAGGUGUCUUCUUGGAAUUAGGGUUGGCUAUUUUAGUGGAAAAAUCCUUGAAAAUAGGUAAAAAAUAGUAGGAAAUUCCUAUUCUAGGUUGGGAAAAUUACCCGCGCCUCCUUGUGACGUCAUAAAACUAGGAGAACCUAUAAAUCAUCCGUCUCGCAAUGAAAUAAUCCAAAAUGUUUUACAUAACUCACUUCCCUCUUUACCCUAAGUAUUGAUGUUUGUUAACUUGAACUUCAAUAACCUACUUCAACAAGCAUCUCCCGUUAAUGUUGGGAAUAAUUGUCUAAAAUGCGUAACAAUGAAUCGGAGAAUUCAGCAAGGGAGAUGGAGUGUCAAUGAGUUCGUAGCAAUUUUCGGAAAUAAUUUUGAAUUUUUGUGUAUUUAGUUAUGAAUUUUGUAAGACAAAGUAAUAAAAUAAUAAUUUAGGGUAAAAUGGGAGGAUGUGGCCAUGUUGACUGACGUACACUUGUGCAAGUAGUCAAAAGUGCCGGGCUGAGAUCGCGCCAGGUGUCAUCUUCUUUUCAAUUUUGGAUUCUUUUGUUAAAAAAUCUUUGAAACUAAGUAAUAAAUAGUAGGAAAAUCCUAAAAAUGCCCCCAAAAUUACUCCGGCCUACUUGUGACGUCAUAAAACUAGGAGAACCUAUAAAUCAUUCGUCUCGCAAUGAAAUAAUCCAAAUUGUUUUACAUAACUCACUUUCCUCUUAACCCUAAGUAUUGAUGUUUGUUAACUUAAACUUGAAUAACCUACUUCAACAAGCAUCUCCCGUUGAUGUUCGGAAUUAUUUUUAAAAAUGCGUAACAAUGAAUCGGAGAAUUCAGCAAGGGAGAUGGAGUGUGAAUGAGUUCGUAGCAAUUUUCGGAUAAUUUUUUUAAUUUUUGUGUAAUUAGUUCUGAUUUUUGUAAGGAAAAGUAAUAAAAUAAUAAUUUAGGGUAAAAAGGGAGGAUGUGGCCAUAUUGACUGACGUACACUUGUGCAAGUAGUCAUAAGUGACGGGCUGAGAUCGCGCCAGGUGUCCUCUUGCUAUUAUUUUGGCUUUUUUAGUGCAACAAUCUGUGGACAUAGGUAAUAAAUUCUACGAAAAUCCAAAAAAUGCCCGGAAAAUGAGAAAAUGAAAAUUAUUUGUACAUAACUCACUUUCCUCUUAACCCUAAUUCACGUGUAACACGUAUAUUUCGGAUAAUAUUCGAUAUAUAAUUUGUAAUAAUACAAUAUUUAGUUUCACUAUAUACAAUAAUAUGUUUUGUUAUAAUAAUGUACAUAAAUAAUAAUUGCACAUGCUUUGAAGCCAUCAUUGCAACUACGCCUAGAGCUUUCAAGACGUCAGUUCGUAUUCAAUAAGUUGUCCACAUGCAAGUGCACCUACAGUUUUCAACACGUCAGAGGUAUUCAAUAAGUUGUCCACAUGCAACUGCACCUAGAGUUAUUAACACGUCAGAGGUAUUCAAUAAGUUGUCCAUAUGACGCCGCAUUGGGAAUCAGUAAUAUAUUUUCAAUCAUGUCCAAUCACAUAAAAUAAUGGCAUACUUUUUCUCAAUAACCUCACACAAGUGAAGCAAUUUUAAAACCCUUACUGAAUAUUUGUCCUAGUCUAUAUGAGUGAUUAUAUAAUCAGUCUGCAUUUUUUUCACAGUAUAUGUUAACUUUGAGAGGGAUUCCACAAACAUAAAAUAUAAAGAAAGCAAGAAAUAGUAGGAGAUGAACCAGUAGAAAAAACAAUAUAUAAAUGGUACAUAAUAAUUCCAUAACCUUGUCACAAACGCACUCACAAAAGCUUUUCCAUAAACCUUGUCCUAACAUAUAAUAAAUAAAGGCAACAUUGCAUAUGAUGCAACCAUGUCCAAAUCUGAUACGUGAUCAAAAACAAAUGGACAUGGCAGCAACAUAUGACUGAAGUAGAUGGGCUCUUUGCAUCUUGUGUUUUCGUAAUUAAAGACAUCAAAAUAUUAAGGUUUAAAUCUUCCAUAGUAGUUAGCAUCAAAAUAGCUUUGAAGCAGAGUGUAAAGAAAAUUCCAAUUCCACUGAUUUGCCUCUGCUCAAACACGAGAACCAAAAUGGUUACUUCCCUUGCUGAGUAUAUUUGGUGACGUCGGAAACGGUAAUAGAUGAUCAAUCAAACCCAGGUACGACGAGUUUUGCAUAGGAUCGGAAGUAGUCGAAUCCAGCUUGCAUCACACGCUUCUUUGACUCCACUGCAUUAGAUGAGUUCUUGUAUUUUUGAACAGCUACACUCCGAAGUCGUUUGUGUCUACGCUUCAUGCGCUGCAACUUCACCCUAUCCAGAUUGGCCUGCCUUUUGUCAUCUUCAAUUUGGCCUUCAACAAAUUCCAAACGUGCCCUUGCCCUUUGGAUUUCAUCACCAAGUUGAAGAUGCCUCUCCUUCCAAAAAGCAACAACUCUUUCAGACUCAAAACUUCCAACAAAAUGGUCAUUCUGUCUAGGAAUGUGACAUUGCUUGUCUGGUGACUCACUUGCGUGUCGAAGGCGGUCUUUGUUUGGAGGGGUGUUUAUUAUGCUCACAUCAAACUUGGUUAGUAAAUCCAUUCUUUGGGGGGAAUGAGUUUGUUUGCUUGAGAGAGUAUCAGUAGAUGGAGACAGAUUCGGUGGAGGAGUGAGUUUUGUGUGGAAGGAGAAUUUAUAUGAAAGGGGUGAUAGUAAUACCAAGAAAAGGGUUCCCGCCAAAAAAUAUUUGGUUGAGAAUGUAUAAAUUAAUUUUUGGUCUGAUACAAUCUAAGUUGAAUCCUAACUAGUUUGGUUGAGUUAACUAAGUAGAUGUCACUUCCAUUGAGUUUCUUUCAACCACUAUCAGUGGUGUCAGGAGAGUGUGAGGUUGACAUGCUUGAAAAGCAAAACCUGACACCUAUUUUUAAAAAAUUCCAUAAAAAAAGUACAUAUGUUGACUACACACAAGCUUUGGUAUGUUGGUCUAUAAACCUAUGUUCCCUUUCUCAAACGAAAUUGCAUAUGCAAUCCUCAUCCUCCCAAAACAAAGAGGAUUAUUCAAGCAUGUCAACCUCUUCAGGCGCCAACAACACAAUCGAAGAUGACAAAUUGGAGUCGCAGGUUCUAUUUCCACAUUGUACUCGCCGACCCCUUCCUUUUUCAACAUCAUUUGGGAGUGAGGGGGACUCCGAUGAUCCAUUAGAGGCAAUACAUGCAGUCAGUGGCAAGCUGGAUUAUAAUUCCAGACUGAUCAAUUCAUGGCACGAGAAAUGUGUUGAAGACGAGGCAAUUUUGGCUGAUCUUAACAUUAGAGUGAACAAAGCGUUCUCCCAAAAGAACAAGUACUUGAAGCUGAGUCAUAGCAGGAAGCUGAAAGCUGAGGAGUUGGAUACAGUAAUGAAUGAUGAAAUGAAAGGUUGUUUGCUGAACCACAUGCGAUGCGAAGAGCACCAUAGUGAACUGGAGUUGGCAUUCAACGAAGGAUUCGACAAAUUUCGAGCAUUUGCGGCAACUACUCAUACAAGUUAUGAUUGGAACUAUGUGUCCCCUGAUGCUGUGAGAGAGAUACUAGACGAUGGGGGUGACAUGAAUGAGCAUAAGCACGUCAAAGCUGCUCGGAAGAAGCCGACCGAUACGACUAAGUGAUUGCGGCUACCGCUGUUCAGUUGGUUGAGGGUGACCGUGGUAUUGCACAUAUACUCCCUUAAUGUCAUUAUCUAAUUUCAAAUAACACAAAUAUCAGUUUCAUUUGCUUCAUAUAUAAUUAUUGGGACUAUGUAUUGCAAGUCAUCAUGUGUUAUAAUGUCUAACAUUAUAUUUUGCAAAUAUGGAAAUAUUAUUCAAUAAGCAGUCAAUAUCACAGCAAGCCGGGAAUCAGUAAAUGCUCCUUAUCAUGUCCAUUUACAUUAAAGAGCUGGCGUACUAAUGUGUUCAAAAAAAACUGAGACGUGAGUCAUAAGUAACAUAACAUGUGCUAUACAUUGUUUACUGAAUGGUUUAUGGUUUAUUUUUAUAUAAUAAAAUUCCAAAUAUUGCUGAAGAUUUAUUUCGUCUAUAUGACUAGGGAUAUGAGUGGCCAUAAGCAUGUGAGACCUGCUAAGAAGAAGCUGACGAGUACGACCGAGUGAUUGUGGCUACCGUUGUUCAGUUGGUUGGGGAGAUCGUGGUAUUGCUAAGAGGGAGCACAUAAUAUGUUUUGCAAUCAAAUGUUCUUUUGUGUGUGGAAUUAUGAGUAUUUAUGUAAGUUAGUGUACCCUUUAAUAUUUUUCACCUAAGUAUCGAAAUGUAAUUAGCUGCAAUGUUAUGUUUCAUUUUUACACGCUGCUUUCUAUUUGCUCUGUUCCAACAAAGUGCUUCAAGUAUCCUUCAGUUACAAAAGUGUACAAAAUCGUGCCCCUAAUAACCAGUCGUCAAAAGUGGCUACUGCUGGAAAUGAUUACUGGUAAUGGAAACAACAGCUGGCUGCUGGAAAUGCUGCAUUAGCCUGAGGAUUUGAAAAAUGAAUCUCUGUUAAAACAUAAUUCACCCUAAACUGCCCAUUUUACAUGGUAAAGGUCAUUGCUUCUUCACAUAACUACAAAUUUCAUACUUGAUCAAAUGUCUAUGAAAAUUUAUAAAUAGGGAGAAGACGUAAAAUUAACAUGUCUCCAAAUUUCAUGGAAGAAUGAAACCAAGGAAAUUUUCAUUUCAAUUACCAGUGGACAUAGUAAGAGCUCAUCGGUGGACAUGAACAAAAACACAAUAAUAUUCAAAAACUGAAUCUAUAAAACUUCACCUGAUCAUUAAUCUUCAUAACAACCACAUUUCGUCUAAUACAAAUAUAAAUCAUUUAGUUGGUCCGUGCAUCCUGUCAAAAUCGUCGAAUAAUGGGUCACUACGAUGUAUUGGAGUUGAUUCGUCAUUGUUCGACGGUGAUGUCCUGCAUAAACAUCAAACACAAGCACAUAAAAAUUUUACCUUUUCAUAUUUUAGAUGUUAUUACAACUAGUGUUAGCAUCUUACGGUGUGUUCAAGGCUGGGCAUUGUCUUCUAUCAUGACCAAUGUGUCCACACUCCCGACAGUGUCUAAUCCCUCGCUUCAUUGCCUUUUCCUUUGCUCCCGUUACUCCUUUCGACCUUCCUUUGCACCUCACUCUCUUAGGGUCUUUCAUAUAUUGUGUUUGAGAGCUGGACCCUCCAACUUCGUUAUUACUUAGUCCAUCCUUCAGCAACUUUAACUUCACCUGCAAACUUUUUAGAGUCUCUGACAGUAGCUCACAUCCUUCUUCACUCAUUAAUGCAUCCUCAACCACAUCUGAAGCAAGUCGAGACAUUGUACUCCGCUUUAUUAGAAGGCCAGGAUCUGCACAGUCUUUAAUUUCGUUGCCAUUUGCAUCUGACACCAUUCCAGAUUUCGCAGUUUUCUUCCACCUCUUCAAAAUAUAUUUAUCGGGCAUAUAUUCAAUCUGGUCCCUUCUGAACAAUGCUAGGAUGUGCUUGCAAAUAAUUCCAACAAAUUCAAAUCUUUUGCAGCUACACGAUGCGUGGUCAGAAUCUUUGACAUAUACGACUUCUGCCACUCUUGUUUCCCAAUUUUUCCUUUCGCUCACGUUAAAGACAACUUUACAAGCAUCCUCUGUUUUGAGCUCUAGGAAACAUGCUGUACUUUGUAUUAGUUCUUGCUCAAACUUUUGAAACAUUGUCCUUGUGUACAAGGUAGCCAUUUGUUUGUUCAUUGGCAUCGGUAGAAGACAUUGAGCCACUUCAAAUGCAUCUACGUGAUCAGCAACUAACUCUUUUUCACGUUGAUGAGAAAGUGCCCUCUCAAAUCGUAUUAUGAAAUCCAUCAACGAAUUUCUCCUUGAUAUGUAUUGCUUGAAAAAACCAUGAGAACCUUCCGCUCUUUGGCUGCUUGACAUUCCAGCGGCAAAAAAUUGUCGUGCGUAGGCUGGAACCCAAGAUUCCCUUAAAUCAAACAUUGAACUUAGCCAUGGAUGGUCGGUCAAACCAGCCUUUGUAACCACAAUAUUCCAUUUUGCAUCAAACUCAUCCUUAUUGUCAGUAUCCCAUAUGGCUUUCUGAAAUUCACGCCAAUACUCCUUAUAAGCGUCACGUGGUAACUUAACAGAGAACUUUGAUGUGAUGUGCCAUAUGCAAAGUCGAUGAAAUGUACUCGGGAAGGCUAUUGAAAUCGCUAUGGCCAUUGCCGCAUCUUGAUCUGUAAUGAUCGUUUUAGGUUCCCCACCUGGCAUGGCUUUCUUAAACUCCUCAAACAUCCAAACAAACGACUCAGUCGUUUCCUUGCUCAAAAAUGCACAUGCUAAGACAAUUGUUUGACCAUGGUUAUUAACUCCCAACAUUGGUGCAAAUGUCAAGUCGUAUCGAUUCGUGUUGAAUGUGGUAUCGAAUACAACAACAUCUCCAUAAAACCCAUACGCCCGUCUAGAAGUUGCAUCUGCCCAAAAACAUCGACUAAACCUGUCAUGCCCAUCUCCCUCAAUCUUGAAAUAAAAAGCCUCAUUUUUUUUCUGUUCAGCCAUAAAAUACUCGGUCACUAGUUCAACAUCGUGGUUCCUCAGCUUCCCAUUCACACUACAUUCAAGAUUGUAGAUAUCUUUUUUGAUAAAACCGAUUUUAUCCAUUCCUCCGGAUUGCACCUUGAAAAUACUUACCUUAUGAUGAAUGGGAAUAUUAACUGAACCCAACUGUUUUGUGAGUACUUUGUAGAAUCUGAAAUAUGACGGUGUGAUCUCAAUAAAUGCAUUCUUUCUGAGGGUGUCAUCUUAUGAUUGUGUCCCUCUGCAAAAAGAGAUAUGGUAUACUUCUUGCUCCCAUUUGUCUUCACAACCACAAUCUUAGCUUUGCAAUUGCAUCUACUUAUUCCCCGUUGUCUUUUUCUCUCCCGAGUUUCAUCCUUCCUGUAUGCACCUUGUUUGCAACAUACAAAUUCUUUCCUCAAAAUCUCUUUCUUAUUUUUCCCCCAAAAGCUAGAAUGAAGUCGAAUACCAAAGCCAGCAAAGAAUGCAUAUCUAUUAUAGAAAUUGUAAACGAGGUCAAGCGAGUCAAACUUCAUCCCAACUGCUGGUGUUUCCUCAUUUCUUACUUCAGGAAUAUAAACCCUCCCAUUAGCUGUUGCACAUUCAUCACUCUCUGAGCCCCCAGACAUUUUAUCUACGUAUAUUAUUGAUCCACUUCUAUAUUACUGCAUAGCAAUUAUUCAUUCAUUAAUCAGUCAUUACUGCAUCACAACAUAUCAAUGCAUUCCACUUACACAAAACAUUGCCCAAAUUGACACAAAAUACGCAUAGCCUAACUUCCGAUUACACAAAACGCAAGCAAAAUUUCAUAAAAGUUACGUCAUCUCUUGUGAAAUAAUCUGGUCAAAAUAACAUUAGAACCAACAUGUUCAACUAAGAACACAAAUGUAAUUCAAACCACCAAUUACAGAACUUCACCCAAUAUCCUCUCCAACUGCUUACUCCUAAUGUCAUUAAGCCUAAGUUUAGGUUCUUUUACCUACAUUUCAUAAUUUUCCACCCCGACCAACAACAAUGAACUAAGAAUAUUGAAUAUUCAUAAGGAAAUGACACAUUAUUGAUGCCACAAAUGACGAAUUUCCCACCCUCACAAAAGAUAAACCUAACCCAAUAAAAUCAAUCCAGCAAGUGAACUUACCUCUCAAAAUCAAUCGGGAGCUCUGAAGUCAGUCAGCUUGAAAGAAUGUGGUGGACAUUACAGAAGACUCUUUGGUAUUUGAGACUCCAUCUCUACCAAAAUCGAGGAACAACUGCUGCUGCGGCUUCUAGCUACAAAAACAGAUAUGCUACUUUGCUUUCAUCUGGAAUCUUGUCAGCUGAAUGAAAAAGAGAAGGGGUUUUCACUUGAGCCAUAGAAUCAAAACAGGGCAACAGCUAGGUAAGAGCCAUUCUUCGUAAUACCCAGGAUACCAUAGAUCGCAGGCCUCCCAACGAGCUAAUGACAGUCGAGUGACUAUAAGGUUUGGGAGAUUUGGAUCCUUCUAAUUGUGGGUUUGCUUUACAUUCAAAAAGAAAGGAUUGUGUUCUUCAGUUUUUCACAGAGAGGGAAAGAGGGGAACAACUGAAGUUGGGUUUCUAACGGGUUAGAUUUCAACCCGAUUCUACAUGCACCCUCUUUUAAAAACUCACCGUUGGAUGAAAUCCAACGGCUCUUACAUGCCCCUCAAAAACACCCCUUAUAACUUCCCACUCACUAUAGAAGCUCCCCUGUUUGUGUUGUUGAAUUGGGUCUUUUAGUUGUUUUUGUAAACUCUGAUUUAAGUCUAGUUUGGUAUUGCUGUACUUUUAAAAAAAACUACUUCCGCUGUGCUGCUAGAAUACUCAGCUGUAAAAAAAAUUAGUUAUGCUUUUGGUAAACUAUAUUUGAAAAAGUGCUGUGAGUAAUCCAAAUGUUUGGUAAAUGACCAAAAAAAAGUGCUUUUAAUACGUACAAUGACUAAAAAGGACAUGAUGAUGGAACUAUUUGAUUUUUUCUUCAUUCUUUUUCUACUUAAAAAAAACUUCACUACAUAAUUUUUUUUUCUUUUUUUAUUUAUACUAUACACGUGUUCCUCUCUUCUCAAAAAAGUAAAUGCCUUUUGUUAUGUAUUGAAUGCUAACCCAACGACACCAAUUGGAAACCCAACACAGCCCAUCUCUCCACUUCAAUUUUUCUCUUUCUACCAUUUACAAGUUUUUUUUCUUCAUUCCUUCGUCUAACCAAAAAUAUCUCAUGUUUCCCCCAAUUAGUUUUAGUACUUUUGGGUAGGUGAGACUGAAAAGGGGAAAAAUUGUAUGUUGGGUUUAUGUUUUGGUGUUCUUGCAAUGGGAGAUAACAUAGUGGAGAAAGUAGCCAUGGUGAAAAUACAGAUUUCUGGGUUGCAGCCAUGGAGAUUUGAGCUGAUUUACAGUGCUGUAGUGGGGGUAGUUGAAGCCCCCCCAAAGUUGGGACUACUGCAACAGGAUCUUUCCACCCAAAACCAAAAACAAGAACAACAAACUCAGGUGGAACAUGAAACUCAUCACUCUCUCUCUUCCUUCGACUCGGGUUUUCUCUCUUCUUCCUCAAACCUGCGACAAAUAGAAAAACCCCCAAUUUAACAGAGAAAACUCUAGAUGCAGAAAGUUUGAGAAGUAGAAAACCAAAAAACCAUAAUUGUAAUUAAGUUAUUGAUGAAUGGGCAACCUUCUUAGCAAUUAAUUUUUUGAUGUCCACAAUGAGAGUUCCAGCAGCGUCAGAGAGUAGAGAAGGAAAUGAAGGAAAUAGAGUUCACAGAAUGGAGAAGAAAAAAGGGGCAAAAGACCGUCAAUUUGUAAAAUAAGUGAGGGUAUUACGGGAAAGUUAAAAGUUCAUUAAAACAACCGGUUAAAUUUUUUUUGAAGCAGCUUUUAAAAGCUUGGUAGAGACGGCUUCGAAAAAACAGCGAUCAUUGACUGCGAUUUUAAAAAAAAGCAGGAUUCCUGAUGUUUUCCAAACACCCAACUCAUGAAAUUUUUUUAUUAAAGCUGCUUUUUAAGAAAAUUAAACGCUGCCAAACACCACCUUAACCAUUUUCUUUGCGUGUGCCAAAUUUAUAAUUUUGACCAGUGUCAUGCAGGAAAAUGUUUCAUGCUUUGUUAACAGGGGGCUUUCGAUGAGUAUUUUAUUUAGAUGAAAAGUGAUUCAUUCCUUUCCUUUAUGGAUUCAUCUUGUUAGGUUGAUCUAUUGAAGAAUGAGCUUGGAUUUGAUGAGGCUUUUAACUAUAAAGAAGAGGCUGACUUGAAUGCGGCUUUCAAAAGGUGCAUAUGAGUAAUGAUAGAGAGAUUACAUUUAUAAACCCUAGCGGACCAUGAAUAUAAUGAGUCUUAAAUCUAUUAGACAAUUGGUUAGUUGACAGGUGGUAUACAAAGCAGUCUACAAAUGUGAUCUCCCUAUCAUUUUCCGUAAAAUACAUAUUUAUUAUGUUAUACUAGUUUCCUUUAGUAAGAAAAGAAAGGAAAAAAACUAUUAUUAAGAAUUUGUGUGUUGUUAGGGUUCAUCAUUGGGCUGGGCCAACUCAAAAAUUUUGGGUUCGAGCCGAGCCCUCAUGGGCCGAAAUGGGCCAGACUUUUUGUUAAAAAGUCUUUUCAAUCUUUUUGUUACACAUUUCGUUUUUUCAAAAGUGAUGGAUAUAGAGUAUUCUCUUAAACAAUAGUAUAGAUUACUACAUAAUUUAAGAAAACAAAAAUAUAAUAGCCAAACUUUUUUACUAAACCUAGACCAAUAACCAAUAUAUUUAAAAAAUAUUAUACCUAAAAAUGAAUCUUAUGAUGUGCAAUUUGUGCCUUAAUUAACUUAUAUCCCAAAUUAGGAUUGACAUCAUGAAAAUUAAAGCAAUUUGUGCCUUUAAAAUUAAUAAACCCAGAAUAAGCUUUCAAAUUCUUUAUUGAACCGUUAAAUUUGAACUUGACAAAAAAGGGGCACUAAGAGAUAUAGUGCAUAUAUUGCUUGUUUGUUACAAAAUUUUAGACAACAUUGAAAAAAUUAACUUAAUUUAUAACAUGUGUAAACAAAAUAAAAAGUUUAUUAGUUUAUCAUACAUAUUACAUUAUUUUGAUUAAGUAUAAAAUGAGGUUAGGGAAUGCAUCAAUUAAUCUUAAAAAAAUGAAAAGCAUAAGCGGGCGGGCCGAGCGGGCCUAACCAUCUUGCUAGGCUGGACUUUGACCCAUCAAGCCUCGGACUACCCACUUCGGAGCCGCGGGCCAAAUGAUGAUCCCUAUAUGUUGUAUAUGAUGCUUUGAAGCUUGAGCUUUCUUGAGUGAAGGAUAAAUUUUCUUUGUAAUUACCAUACACUUGCCAGGUAUUUCCCUGAAGGCAUUGAUAUUUACUUUGAGAAUGUUGGAGGCAAAACGCUAGACGCAGUGCUCCUCAACAUGAGAGUCCAUGGCCGCAUUGCUGUAUGUGGAAUGAUCUCACAGUACAAUCUUGAUCAAGCAGAAGGGGUAACAAAUUUGAUGCACCUUGUGUAAAAACGUAUCCGCCUCCAUGGAUUUUCGGUAAGAGAUCACUAUCACAUCCAUCCGAAAUUCGUGGAGUUUAUGCUGCCUUACAUUAGGCAAGGAAAGAUUGUUUAUGUGGAAGACAUAGUUGAAGGCCUUGAGAGUGGUCCAAGAGCGCUGGUUGGACUUUUUAAGGGUCUUAACUUUGGAAAACAAGUAGUUGACGUCUCUGCAUGAAUAAGUUGUUUUGUCAAUCGAUUUGGUGUGCUUGUGUUUCUAACCACUAUAACUUUGUUAAGUGGCUCUUUGGUUUUAUUUUUAUGUUUUUGGAUCCUUUUUGGGAUUGCAUAUGUUAAGUGGUGCACUUUGUCAUACAGAAGAUAUUCAUCAAUAAUAAGGGCUAAUUCAGGAUUGUUGUCACUUUUAAAAAAAGAUGCUUCUGUUGUGUUUUGGAAAUAAUAAGCUGUAAAGUAGUUCCAUGCGUGUUAAACAAUAUUUUUAAAGUGUUGUUAGUAUAAAAAGUUAUGUCAAAACCGUUUGGUAAAUUUUGAUAUAAAACUAGUAACUGUUGAUAAUGACUAAAACAUACAUGAUAUGUCGAAAGUGUUACGUGGUAACCAUAUGGUGGUGGUGGCGGUGGUGGUAUAGGUGGAGGUUGAGUUGGUGGUGGUGGUGGAGGUGGAGGUGGUGGUGAGGCGUGCUACGGGCACCAACUUAAAUACUAAUUUAAUGAUACCAACCUAUGUGGCAUAUGACAUGACAAUUUAUGUCAUAUGCCACAUCAUUUUUUUUAUUAGUUAAGUUUUAACAAUUUUUUGUCAGAAUUAACUUAAUUAUUUAGUUUUAAAUAAAUAAAUUCUGCUCCACGCCUCCCUUCCUUCUCGGAUCUACUACCAUGGCCUCCUUCCUCCCCAACUUGUAUGCCCUUAUUAUUACGCACAUUGAAUUUGGCUUUCGGGGUGUGACAUAUUUUUACCAAUCCCAUGAAGCUUUUCUUAUCUUUGAAUGCUUGAGUGCUAACCAUUGUGUGUUUCCCUUGCUUUAGGAAGAUUGCCUCACUCAGCAAGAAUGCAUGGUGAGGUGUUUGUGAAUGGUGCAAAAUCGGUACAUGUACAUGGCCACGACACCGAUAUAUAAAUGAGAAGAGAAUUCCUUGGUCAGUAUCAAUAUUGCGAAACUGUUGCAGCAUUGAAGGGUUGUGUGAACUCCUCGAUUUCAAGCGAAGUCGAAUAUUGCUUGAUGUGGAAGAUGGCUCAAACUAAUAAAAAUGAGGAAAACGGAUCAUACCAACAAAAAUAUGGCAGAUGGCCAGAAUCAAUAUAACCGUGGUCAGAUUUGGGAAGUGAGGCCAUGGCAGAUUCGGAGAGGGAGGGAGGCCAUGGCAGAUCUAUAAAGGAAUGGAGAAACAGAUCACACCUCUUCCCUUCUCCUCAUACCACAACUCAUCAUACACACCCAAUCGAUUUUGAAAUAUUACAUAAAAGUUGUGAUGGCGCUGGAACUGCAGAUUCAGAACGUUUUUUAUAUGCUUCCCACAAGCAGUCAGACAAACCCUUAGAGGACGAGUGACAUCAUUACCUUCUCAACUUACCAAAGAAAGAACUCCUUCCGAAGUGGUAACCACUUGCCGAUGCUCCCAACUACAGAACCAAGUUUCCAUGGACACGUGUCACCUCCACAAUAGUUUGCACAAAGUCCGACAUUGAAACUUUGUGCAAAACUCCCAUUUUCAGGGAACAGUACCUAAGGAAAAGGGGUAACUACUUUUCACAUUUACUGUUACUCUGCCAAAAUUACCACAUAUACUCGCUGACUUAAGUAUUGGAGAGUCUUCGGCAGGUACCACACCAGUGUCCGAAGCUUGACGAUCCCUUCUUCCUUGUUUUCUUAUGCAAGAUCCCUCCAUACCGAAGGUCCACAACCUUCUCCCUUGCUGAAGAUUUAACACUCCUUUAUCUAAGUUAACCCUCCGAAAAAGAGCAUCAACACGCGCAGCACUCAUUAUCUUUCAACAAUCUGAUUAUCUUAUACUAGUUAAUUUAUGGGUUGUUUGAUAACAAUUUCAAUUUUAAUUUUUAGUUUUCAUUUUCAUUUUUUUUGAAAACUGAAAACAUGUUUGGUAUUAGAUUUCGUUUUCAAAUUAAAAAAAAAGUGAAAUCUAGUUUUCAAAAUCACCUUUUUUUUAAAAAACAACUUGGAAGUGUUUUAUGUUUUUUUUUUAUGUUUUUUUUUUUUUUUUUUUUUUUUUUGUGCACUAUUGUUUGUUGGAGUGUUAGUUGACUUUCUUUGCACACCAAGGUUUCCCAUAUUAACUCAUGCAUAGAUUGGAAUUGAUUUCCUACUCUAAAUAGUAUUAGAAGUUAUUAAUUACCUUACUUAGCCUUCAAGGAAUAUUGUAUUAUAAAUAUGGCCUUCUACAAGGAGAAGAAUACACAGAAAAUUCUCACCACAAUUACUCUUUCGUAAUUUUAGCAUUAUUUCAUUCAUAAGUUUCACAUCACCACACAUGAAAUGCACUCCGGUUACCAAAAGUCGGUAUUUGGGACCUCCCAACUUGGACUUGGUCGCUCAAUUCGUGCUUUUGGCCACAAUCCCAAUCCAAACCUCGUCAACUCCAUGUCCAAAGGUCACUAAAAAAUAAUCAUAAUUUUAAAAAAUUCACCAAAAAAUAUUACGAAUUUUUUGUCAUUCCUGCUUUAACUUUACCUUUUGUUUUCAAAUGUUGACCCGUCCCAACCCAACUCUCAAUGCUCGAAGGGUUCUUUCGUGUAGUUAAGAGUUGGGUUUUCCAAGGUAGGUCUAUAUUGAUUCGAACAACUUUGCGGUAUAUCUGUGGGUAAGAUACUGUUCUCAAAGUAGUAAAGGCUGAACUAAAAGGCUAAAUGGGAAAAUGAAUACUUUCUUUUCUCUUCCUCAAGAAACAUACAUCCUCACCACAAGAGAGGGAGAGUUGCUUGGUAUUUUGUUAAAUAAAAUAAAAUAAUUAAUAAUUGAAAAUAGAAAAUGUUUGAAAAGGAUAUUGGGAAUAAAGAGAGAAGAUGCGGGUGUGAGUAAAAUAACAAUAAAAGAAAAUUAAAUCAAAAAUAAAAAAAUAAAAAAAUAAUUAAGUUUUGGGGAGUAGAAAUCGGGAUGGAGGGGGGAGAGAGAGGUUUUUUUUUAAAAAUUUUUUAUUCGUAUUUUAAUCAAUUUUGAUAUUGUUGAGGCCCAAAAAAGUUACGGGAAGCCCAAAGACAUUUAAAGCCCAAUAUAACAUAUAUUCUCAGUCAUGCGUUAAUCCAAGCUGUAAUUCGGAUUUAAUUCAUUAAAUAAAUAUAAAAUAGUGUACAUGUCAUGCUAAACUAAUAAUACAUUUUCCCCAUGCUAAUCACCUAUCAAGCUCACAUGAACCCAAGUCAUGUGAUUUACGGGCUUGCAUGAGGGAUUGUGGUGUGGAAGGUUACGGAGGUCCACAAGGCCCACGGAAGCUCUUGGAUAACAGAGACUUUGGGCUAGCUACUUGAGAGCACCAAAGUCCAAGCCCAUUACUUAGAGUUCUCCAAUGUGGGUGAGCAAAUGAGACAUUUUUCAAGCACUGCCUUUUACCUAUAGGAAAUAGUCAUUUUCCAAAUACCAAGCUUUACCCGUUGGAAACAAGCAUUUUCCAGCACUUCCUAUUACCCAUUGGAAACAAGCAGUUUCCAGUGCUUCCUUUUACCAAUAGGAAAAAAUCUGUUUAUGAUACCUAGCUUUACCUAUUGGAAAAUAGCAUGUCCUAGUCCUCCCUUUUAACCAUUAGAAAUAGGUUGGUUCCAAUACCUCCCUUUACCUAUUGGAAAUAAAGGAAAACCCUCACCCUCUAUAAAUUGGCACUCAUGGCUCAAGCAAAAGGCACCAAUUUUUCUUCAGCCAAUACUUCCUCACUCGGCUACUGCAAGCAUCCCAGCAGCCACCAACCCCCAUAAAGCAUCACCUAGCUCCAAGCUUUUCCUUCCUUCCAAGCUUUAAACACCAUAGCCUUUAAACCUCAAGCUUUUCCUUCCAUCCUCCUUCUCUUGAAACUCUUAAAUCCCCAUAGCCAUAGCCACACACAACAAAUUAUCAACACCAAACUCAAACAUAUCCAACACCAAGCCAAGCACAUGCAUUCUCAUUUGCUAAACUUGUGGGUCUUUAGCUCCUACACUCCAAGCUCUCAUGCUAAGCUCACAUAAUCUCAUACCAACAUCAGCAAGUCAUCUUCAACUCUUCGUCGAGCUGCCGAAAACAUCAACACAAAACAUGCAGCCGUUGGAAGAAGAACAAAGUACUCUCCCGGGACUUGCUUUUCCCUUGGGACACUUUGGGCCUAGUUCUCGCUAACUCAGAUAAAGGAACAACGAAGUCUUCAUUCAUCACUCUAUGGCGACCCAAGAAUCAACAAAGCCCGGAUGAGCCUUCGAACGAAAGUGACCACAUGCAAAGCUCAAGCUUCAAUAGCCAAGCCCAAGCUUUUGGUUCCUAAAAACAUGCUUACGACAGCUGCAACAAACAAUACCUAAGUCACCAUAAGUGAUAUGCCCCAGCGUCUCAAGCACUUUCUAUGCCCUGACAAUUCUAAUGAUCAAGUUUUAGAGUCAAACCAAAAGGCCAUUGGGAUGUCUCAAUUGCCACAAUUCCAUAAUCAAUCAUCAUCAAGCCUCAAGCCUUAUUCAAGAAAUCCAAGCACUAUUCUUUACUCAAGAAGGAAAACAUCUCAGUUCGUGGCAAAUAGAAGGAAAAUACUACGAAGGUACCGGAAGAACCUAAACACUGUCAAGAUGAAGUUUCCUUUACCAAGCAAUCAAAAUUUUUGAAGUGAUGUCAAGCUAUCAAGAAAAAGAGUAAAGUCACUAUGCAACACAACAACCAAAAUAUGCUUGUAGUAACCAAGAUUCAAGCCAAGCAAAAUGUGGAAGAUAAUGAUGCGUUGUAUGAAAUGCUCCUGGAAGAUAACACAAGCCCUAUAGUCAUGCUGCCGGAAGAGUGAACCAUCAUGCCACUAAAUUUGAAAGAGGAGCCCCAUAUCUGAGUACUGGAAGGCAGCGCAGUGGACUCCAAAACUAAGAUCUAGUCCAAGUGACUUAAGGCCUCCAUAUUGCAAUGCUUAUUUGCCAACACCUAUACCGCUUUCAAGCUACUGCAGACACUAUCAUGCUCAAAUCCUUAAGCAUCUCCCAUUGUAUUUUCAUCUUCUAAUCUACCAAAGCCCUCAUGAUUGACCAAGCUAUAUCUUGAUUCAACUCCACCCACUUGCUCUUUACAGCAGCCCAGGCCCAUCUGUAGCUGCCGGAACAAAAAAGCCCCAACGUAAAUGACAAAACCGAAACACUAAAGCACAUCCACCAUGCUAAAUAGCCCAAAAGCUAUAUUAAACCACGACACUUUAGCCAAUACCAAGCGUACAAGCCAAUGCCCAGCAUCCAAGCAUACAAGCCAAAGCUUAGCGUACAAGCCAAUACUAAGCAUACAUGCCAAUGCCAAGCAUACACACCAAUGCCAAGCAUCCAAGCCAAUACCAAGCGUACAAGACAAAGCCAAGCAUACAAGUCAAUACCAAGCAUACAUGCCAAUGCUACGCGUAUACGCCAAUGCCAAGCAUCUAAGCCAAUACCAAGCAUACAAGCCAAAGCCAAGCGUACAAGCCAAUACCAAGCAUAUAUGAGCCCAAGAUCAAGCGUACAUGCCAAUGCCAAGCAUCCAAAUCAAAUACUAAGAAUACAUGUCAACAUCAAGCAUACAUGCCAACACCAAAUAUACACGUAAAAACCAAGGAAGCAAGCACGGAUGUUUCAUGCAUAUUGAAGAACCAGCCAUGUCAUGCCACUGCCAAUUAUUUUGGGCUGAAAUAGAUUAUUGGGCCCAUCUCACUGCCACUUCAUAGCCCCAAUAAUCAAGGGGGCUAAUGUUGAGGCCCAAAAAAGUUACGGGAAGCUCAAAGACAUUCAAAGCCUAAUAUAACCUAUAAUGUCACUCAUGCGUUAAUCCAAGCUGUAAUUUGGAUUUAAUUCAUUAAAUAAAUAUAGAAAUAGUGUACAUGCCAUACCAAAAUAAUAAUACAUUUUUUCCAUGCCAAUCACCUAUCAAGCUCACAUGAACCCAAGUCAUGUGGUUUAUGGGGCUUGCAAGAGGGAUUGUGGUGUGGAAGGUUACGGAGGUCCACAAGGUUCAUGGAAGCUCUUGAAUAAUGGAGACUUUGGGCUAGCUACUUGGGAGCACCAAAGUCCAAGCCCAUUACUUAGAGUUCUCUAAUGUGGGUGAGCAAAUGAGACAUUUUUUAAGCACUUCCUUUUAUCCAUAGGAAAUAGUCAUUUUCCAAAUAUCUAGCUUUACCCGUUGGAAACAAGCCUUUUCCAGCACUUCCUAUUACCCACUGGAAAUAAGCAGUUUCUAUUACUUCCUUUUACCAAUAGGAAAUAAUCUGUUUAUGGUACUAGCUUUACCUGCUGGAAAAUAGUAUGCCCUAGUGCUCCCUUUUAACCAUUAGAAAUAGGUUGGUUCCAGUACCUCCCUUUACCUAUUGGAAAUAAAGGAAAACCCUCACUCUCUAUAAAUUGGCACUCAUGGCUCAAGUAAAAGGCACCAAUUUUUCUUCAGCCAACACUCCCUAACUCAGCUGCUGCAAGCAUCCCAGCAGCCACCAACCCCCAUAAAGCAUCACCUAGCUCCAAGCUUUUCCUUCCUUCCAAGCUUUAAACACCAUAGCCUUCAAACCUCAAGCUUUUCCUUCCAUCAUCUUUCUCUUGAAACUCUUAAAUCCCCAUAGCCAUAGCCACACACAACAAAUUAUCAACACCAAACUCAAACAUAUCCAACACCAAGCCAAGCACAUGCAUUCUCAUUUGCUAAACUUGUGGGUCUUUAGCUCCCACACUCCAAGCUCUCAUGCCAAGCUCAUAUAAUCUCAUACCAACAUCAGCAAGUCAUCUUCAACUCUUCGUCGAGCUGCCGAAAACAUCAACGCAAAACACGCAGCCGAUGGAAGAAGAACAAAGUACUCUCCCGAGACUUGCUUCUCCCUCGGGAUACUUUGGGCCUAGUUCUCGCUAACUCAGACAAAGGGGCAACGAAGUCUUCAUUCAUCACUCUAUGGCGAUCCAAGAAUCAACAAAGCCCGGAUGAGCCUUCGGACGAAAAAGACCCCAACAGAUAUAAAAAUACCAUUUUUCCCCUGCAGUUAACAGAAAAGUUAACAGCCGGACCAUUUGUCCUAACGAAACUGAAGUUGAAGAACUACGGGAACCAUUUUGAAAAUUGAGGUACUCAAAUACAAAUCGGGUCUAAGUUCAGGGAUUAAUAAAACAAUUAACCCCUGAGUUUAUAAUGCUCGAGAGUAUAUAGGAAGAGGACACUCCAACUGGCAGCUAUGGAGGAGGCCAAGACUAGUAGUGUCUAUUCUGUGAAAGCUAACUUUGCUUUCUUAUUAUCCACAACUUAGAUAUAUCAAUGGCUUCUUGCAAGAACCUCAAUUCUUUAUGAACUUUCUGCCCUAAAAUGCUUUAUCUAAUAGCUCAGACAAUGGUGAAAGAAAAAAAAUUGUUGUUGGAAUCUUAGCAUAAUAAUAUUUUCCAGCCAAAAUCAGUUGUUAGAUUCUCCAACAGCACAAUCUCUUUUCGCAAUCACAUACUAGUCAAUCCUACAGAGCAUAAGAUCCUACUUUGAGGGGUGGAAAGGAAUGAAUUCAACUCACCACUAUUAUGACCAAGGCAAUAAUUUUCAUUUCCAUCACAUGAUUCUAGGUGACCCACAACUCCAUACCACCAACCUGCAAUAUAUACAGAAAAUCCUAUCAAGCAAUGGACAAUGGGAAAUUAAUUAAUUUCACCUUUUAUUUAAGUUUCUGCAUAUUAAACGAAUCUACUUUCAUUAUAUAUUUAAGGGAAAUGUAAGCCUUUUUUUUCGUUCUUUACCCUUUUUUUUCCUCACCUUAAUGGGGCUUGAGGAUGUUUGAAUUGUUCGCUAGAACUACUUUCAUUAUCUAUUUGAGGCAUACUUCAUGAACCACAUGGAUUCUAGGAAGUGAUAUAGACCUUUGUUUCUUUCAUUUGAGCCCUUCUAGCCAACCCGUAUCACUUUUAUCCCUUGUUAAUCACCUUGUGCCUUUUAUGUAAGCCUUUUUUUUCGUUCUUUACCCUUUUUUCCUCACCUUAAUCUAUCAUAUGUUACCCUUCUAAGGAGUUUUGUACAGUAUUUUCGUUGUUAAGGGAGAAUUGCACAACAAUCAUGUGGAAAGUAAAGGAUACUAUUUCCAAAAAAAAAACCUAAUUUCAAACCCUUUUCAACUCGAGUUAUUGAGCCCUAUGAGUGUUUUACAUUUAAUUUCGUAAAGCUAUGUAGCUUGGGAGUCAUUGGCCUAACACUCGCUGCAUGGGUUGAUUAGAAAGCUAAUGAAGAGUUAGAAAAAAAAAUUGUGAAAAAUAAAUAAAUUUCAAGACAGUAUCAAUAUGAAGUUGCGUGCUCAAAGUGCAAGAUGUUAUAAUUUUCAUGGAAAGCUCUAUGAAUUCCUUAGAAUUUGUUCAUCCAUAUCUUUUUCUUGUUUCACCCGUCACUCUAAGCCCCAUUACAACCUUAUUUGAAGACUAUUCUGCUAUUUUCUCAAGGCGUGCAAUAUAUGACUGGAAAGAUAAGAUAAAGACCUACAAUUUACAUAUUUUUUCAGAAUUUUCUCGGAGGAGGAAUGAUUCCAAACGUGGGUGCAAAGUAACUAACGUGUUAUCCUAGUCCAAGUAGGAAGAUGAGUCAAUUACUUACCCAUUUUGGAUUUAAGUUUUAAUUAGCUGUUUCUUUAUUUUUGGGCUGUUGUAAAAGGCCAGCUAAGGUAGGAAUAGACGUGUGGCAUUUUAUUUAAGCAUGAGACAACUCCUUUGGGAAGACGCAAAGACUAGGAGAAAUUGGAGACGCCGGAAGAGUACCACAAUUGGCUAAGUUUUAUUGUUUCUUCCUUAUGUUUUUGUUUAUGUCAAAUUCUAUGAUUAUGUGUAACUAAUUUUAUUUUGCUAGGGCAUGAUGUAUGCCUAGUAUGAUAAUCUAGUUUUCUUAUUUUACCUAUCUAUUGAUUGCAGUUUGAUGUUAGAUUCUUAAUCACUGUGCUUAGUACCUUAGUUGAUUACCUUGAUGCUUGAUCACCAUCUAGACUUUUAAUUGAGUUAAUCGGAUGCGAAUUAGAGUAAAUACCAUACUUAAUUUGAGGUUUGCUUCUUGUGAUUAGAAUUUGUAAUUUGUCUAAAGUAAAUACCAUACUCCUAGAAUUUACAUGCUUGUUGGAGGUUUUCACUGAUUUCAAUAUUUUCCCGACAUGUGAUGCCAACAACAUAGAUGUUUCAAUGUUUCACUAUGGAAGCAAUCACGUAAGGAUUAACAUGGCAGGACAUCAGACAUGAGAAACUAAGAAGAGAGAGAGAGAGAGAGAGAGAGACUUGCCAUUCAAGCAAGAGAAGGCCAUAACACUAUAUAGCAAUAGCACCGUAAAAUAAGAUGCAAAGAAUGAGGGGGUCAUGUUUUCAAGUACCAAAACACGCAAGGGCAUUUUGGUAAAGUACAUCUGAAAAUAAAUCAAGGCAAGCAAAGCCGUAGAUAUCCUCUUCCUGCUACACAUAGUAUUAGCCUACGUAAGGUCAUUACGGCGCCGUUUCCCUUUUUAAUUGGCGUAGUUCAACUCAUCAUCCACCCAAGUUCAUUUCGUUCAAAGCUAUAAAUAACCCCUCAAACCAUUCAACUUUCCCACCACCACUCCUCACUCCUUCAACUCAUUAACCUCUCUCUCUCUCUCUCUCUCUCUCUCUCUCUCUCUCAUCCGCAAAUGGCGAACCGUAGAAGCCUCUUUUCUCUCUCACUUAUCUUUGUGUUCAUGAUCAACUCAGCCAUAGCCACUCCAGUCACAUACAAUGUGGCCAGUUUAGGAGCCAAAGCAGAUGGCAAGACUGACUCCACAAAAGCCUUCCUCUCUGCAUGGGCUAAAGCUUGUGCCUCGAUGAAUCCCGGUGUCAUUUAUGUGCCGGCAGGAACGUUCUUU
rnacentral:lncRNA from 1 species